rnacentral:lncRNA from 1 species
GAAUUGCAGCAGUAUCUUGCCAACCUGGCUGAGCAGUGCAGUGCAGACAAUAAUGGGGUAGAGCUCCCUGUUGUCAUAAUUCUGGAUAAUCUUCACCACGUGGGUUCCUUGAGUGAUAUCUUCAAUGGUUUUCUCAAUUGUAAAUACAACAAAUGUCCUUAUAUUAUUGGAACCAUGAAUCAGGGAGUGUCUUCGUCACCAAAUUUAGAACUACAUCACAAUUUCAGGUGGGUUUUAUGUGCAAAUCACAUGGAACCUGUAAAAGGCUUUUUAGGCAGGUAUCUUCGAAGGAAACUGAUAGAGAUGGAAAUUGAAAGGAAUAUACGUAAUAACGACCU